UGUAAAUGAAAAUUUACUCCCAAAGCUCUGCGCUCAUGAGUUGAAAAGCACGGGCGAAUGGCUUUGGGAGUAAAUUUUUAUUGACA
rnacentral:miRNA from 1 species